rnacentral:rRNA from 1 species
GAGUUUGAUCGUGGCUCAGGAUGAACGCUGGCGGCGUGCUUAACACAUGCAAGUCGAACGGGGUUAUGAAGUGUGAGGAGUCAGCUUGCUGGUGACGAACAGUUCAUAACUUAGUGGCGGACGGUGAGUAACGCGUGGGUAACCUGCCAUAUACAGGGGGAUAACACUUAGAAAUAGGUGCUAAUACCGCAUAAGCGCACGGAGCUGCAUGGCUCAGUGUGAAAAACUCCGGUGGUAUAUGAUGGACCCGCGUCUGAUUAGCUUGUUGGCGGGGUAACGGCCCACCAAGGCGACGAUCAGUAGCCGGCCUGAGAGGGUGGACGGCCACAUUGGGACUGAGACACGGCCCAAACUCCUACGGGAGGCAGCAGUGGGGAAUAUUGGGCAAUGGGCGCAAGCCUGACCCAGCAACGCCGCGUGAAGGAAGAAGGCUUUCGGUGUAAACUUCUUUAAGUAGGGAGAGCAGAAGACGGUACCUCUUGAAUAAGCCACGGCUAACUACGUGCCAGCCG